rnacentral:rRNA from 1 species
AACGAACGCUGGCGGCAUGCCUAACACAUGCAAGUCGAACGAUCCCUUCGGGGAUAGUGGCGCACGGGUGCGUAACGCGUGGGAACCUGCCCUUAGGUUCGGAAUAACUCAGAGAAAUUUGAGCUAAUACCGGAUAAUGUCUUCGGACCAAAGAUUUAUCGCCUUUGGAUGGGCCCGCGUUGGAUUAGCUAGUUGGUGGGGUAAAGGCCUACCAAGGCGACGAUCCAUAGCUGGUCUGAGAGGAUGAUCAGCCACACUGGGACUGAGGCACGGCCCAGACUCCUACGGGAGGCAGCAGUGGGGAAUAUUGGACAAUGGGCGGAAGCCUGAUCCAGCAAUGCCGCGUGAGUGAUGAAGGCCUUAGGGUUGUAAAGCUCUUUUACCCGGGAUGAUAAUGACAGUACCGGGAGAAUAAGCCCCGGCUAACUCCGUG